rnacentral:rRNA from 1 species
GAACGCUGGCGGCAUGCCUUACACAUGCAAGUCGAACGGCAGCACGGGUGCUUGCACCUGGUGGCGAGUGGCGAACGGGUGAGUAAUACAUCGGAACGUACCUUAUCGUGGGGGAUAACGCAGCGAAAGUUGCGCUAAUACCGCAUACGCCCUGAGGGGGAAAGCGGGGGACCGUAAGGCCUCGCGCGAUUAGAGCGGCCGAUGUCUGAUUAGCUUGUUGGUGGGGUAAAAGCUCACCAAGGCGAUGAUCAGUAGCUGGUCUGAGAGGACGAUCAGCCACACUGGGACUGAGACACGGCUCAGACUCCUACGGGAGGCAGCAGUGGGGAAUUUUGGACAAUGGGGGCAACCCUGAUCCAGCAAUGCCGCGUGAGUGAAGAAGGCCUUCGGGUUGUAAAGCUCUUUUGUCAGGGAAGAAACAGCAGCUCUAACACAGUCUGCGAAUGACGGUACCUGAAGAAUAAGCACCGGCUAACUACGUGCCAGCAGCCGCGGUAAUACGUAGGGUGCGAGCGUUAAUCGGAAUUACUGGGCGUAAAGCGUGCGCAGGCGGUUAUACAAGACAGGCGUGAAAUCCCCGGGCUUAACCUGGGAAUGGCGUCUGUGACUGUAUAGCUAGAGUGUGUCAGAGGGGGGUGGAAUUCCACGUGUAG